rnacentral:rRNA from 1 species
UACGGAGGGAGCUAGCGUUGUUCGGAAUUACUGGGCGUAAAGCGCGCGUAGGCGGCUUUGUAAGUUAGAGGUGAAAGCCCGGGGCUCAACCCCGGAACUGCCUUUAAGACUGCAUCGCUUGAAUCCAGGAGAGGUGAGUGGAAUUCCGAGUGUAGAGGUGAAAUUCGUAGAUAUUCGGAAGAACACCAGUGGCGAAGGCGGCUCACUGGCUCAUUACUGACGCUCAGGCGCGAUAGCGUGGGGAUCAAACAGG